rnacentral:rRNA from 1 species
CAGUAGCCGCGGUAAUACGUAGGGCGCAAGCGUUGUCCGGAAUUAUUGGGCGUAAAGAGCUCGUAGGCGGUCUGUCGCGUCUGGUGUGAAAUCCCGAGGCUCAACCUCGGGCUUGCAUCGGGUACGGGCAGACUAGAGUGCGGUAGGGGAGACUGGAAUUCCUGGUGUAGCGGUGGAAUGCGCAGAUAUCAGGAGGAACACCGAUGGCGAAGGCAGGUCUCUGGGCCGCAACUGACGCUGAGGAGCGAAAGCAUGGGGAGCGAACAGGAUUAGAUACCCCGGUAGUCCCUGUCUCUUAUAC